rnacentral:rRNA from 1 species
AGGGGUUUGGUAUCAUGGGGCUCAGAACGAACGCUAGCGGCGUGCUUAACACAUGCAAGUCGAACGAGAAAGGUCCCUUCGGGGACUGAGUAAAGUGGCGCACGGGUGAGUAAUGCAUGGGUAACCUGCCCUCAAGUGGGGGAUAACUCCGAGAAAUCGGAGCUAAUACCGCAUGGUAUCCCGGGGUCUUAUGUCUCUGGGAUCAAAGGCGGGGAUCUUCGGACCUGUCGCUUGAGGAGGGGCUCAUGUCCCAUUAGUUUGUUGGUGGGGUAAAGGCCUACCAAGGCGACGAUGGGUAGCCGGCCUGAGAGGGUGAUCGGCCACACUGGCACUGACACACGGGCCAGACUCCUACGGGAGGCAGCAGUGAGGAAUUUUGCGCAAUGGGCGAAAGCCUGGACGCAGCGACGCCGCGUGAAGGAUGAAGGUUUUCGAAUUGUAAACUUCUGUCAGGUGAGAAAGAAGCCUGAAUCGGUUAAUAACCGGUGAGGGUGACUGUACCACCAAAGGAAGCCCCGGCUAACUCCGUGCCAGCAGCCGCGGUAAUACGGAGGGGGCGAGCUGUUUGUU